AAGAGCUGAACAUUUUGAUAGUUGAACGGUUUCUGUAGCUUAAAAAAUGAAGGAGAAGAAGAGGAUUCCAACAAUAAUGUGUCUACCAGCAAAUCUACAGCUCCCAGACUAACACAUGAUACUGUAUGUUAGCCAGGAUAACUGUUACCGCUAAGCUGACCGGCUGCUAAACCCCGCCAUACUCUUAAGUUUUUAAAAUGUUUUUAAUGUCUUCAUGGUGUAUUUAUUGUGUCUACUAAUGAACCACAUAAAAAACGUGUAUCAUAAAGCCGUCCGUCUCUCGUCCUCCGUCCUCCACAGCCGCUGUCCUCGGAGGAGAACUGUCACAGCACCCACUCGAGUCUGUCUGACAGCCAGUACGGGUCGCCCCCUAGAGGCUGGUCCGAGGAGCUGGAUGAACACGGACACACGCUCUACGUCUCCGAAUACACACAGGAGAAGUGGAUAAAACAUUUGGAUGAACAAGGCCGGCCCUACUACUACAGCUCUGACGGGUCCAGGUCCGAAUGGGAACUGCCCAAGUACAACAUCUCCCCUCAGUCCGGCGAGGUCCCCAAGAGUCGCAGUCUGGAGAGGAAGCAGCAGGACCCCAUCGUGCUCACCAAGUGGAGACACAGCACCUACGUGUUGGACCUCAACGACAAGGUAAGACGAUGGGAUUGGAAAUGUGAGAGCUGAUGAGGUAACGCAGACCGUUGGGUCCGAUCAACGUGGAGACGGACGUUCUUGUUUUUCUGGCAGGCUGUCUGCUCUUUCUGUUACCUGUGUUAUUGGCAGUCAGUGUAAUCCCCCAGUGCUGAUGACGCGUUCAGGAACAGGAUCACACUGGAUUUCUCUCUUUUAUCUUUGGAAUAUUGACAAAGCAUGGUGCACUAACCAGGUUCAUGUAAGUGCCUGUGCUGUAAGCUAACGUGUUGUUUUAAAUGUUGACAUCAGACACUGACUUCAGGUUCUCUGUUCUGCAUUGAUCACAGCUAGCGUCUGUGUAGAUUUAGGUUAGAGAUAAGUUCCACAGGACACGGUGAUCCAUUCCAGCAGACACGGUGUUCUAUGAGUGCUAUAGUGAGUUAGUAUUGUACUCCUGUAGAGCUGUGGCCCUUAAGAGACACAUCAUGAGAAGAAUGCCACUUCUAGUCCCUGAAACAGUGGAUCCUACGUUUACAUAAUGCAACCAGACGCAUGUUCCUGCUCGCCCCUCCCAGCGUUAUAGACACAUAUGAACCAAUAUAUUUAACUGUAAAAUAUCUUUCAAAUAUUAACCAAUAGUUGACAUUUUCACACAUCUAAUGUAUAUAAACAAUAAGGCGAC